CGCGUAGAAUAGUGGCACUGCGAAGCUCGGAAGCCGGUGAAAGCCCGGCGCGGUCGCGCCACUGUAAUUGGCCUUUACUGCCAAAAGCCAGACCUGAGCUUGGCGCACUUCCUCUGUAAUCGACUAUCGGGGCGCGUUACCCCAGGAGAUGUCCG
rnacentral:sRNA from 2 species